AGUGAACGCUGGCGGUGGGCCUAACACAUGCAAGUCGAACGGCAGCACAGUAAGAGCUUGCUCUUACGGGUGGCGAGUGGCGGACGGGUGAGGAAUACAUCGGAAUCUACUUUUUCGUGGGGGAUAACGUAGGGAAACUUACGCUAAUACCGCAUACGACCUACGGGUGAAAGCAGGGGAUCUUCGGACCUUGCGCGAUUGAAUGAGCCGAUGUCGGAUUAGCUAGUUGGCGGGGUAAAGGCCCACCAAGGCGACGAUCCGUAGCUGGUCUGAGAGGAUGAUCGGCCACACUGGAACUGAGGCACGGUCCAGACUCCUACGGGAGGCAGCAGUGGGGAAUAUUGGACAAUGGGCGCAAGCCUGAUCCAGCCAUACCGCGUGGGUGAAGAAGGCCUUCGGGUUGUAAAGCCCUUUUGUUGGGAAAGAAAAGCAGCAGGUUAAUACCCCGCUGUUCUGACGGUACCCAAAGAAUAAGCACCGGCUAACUUCGUG
rnacentral:rRNA from 1 species